AUACUUACCUGGCACAGGGGGAAACCACUAUCAGCAAGGUGGUUUUCCCAGAGUGAGGCCCUUCCAUUGCAUUCCGGUUGGGUUGACGUUUGCGAUCGCCCCAAAUGUGGGUGACUCGGUGCGUUAUUUCUCUUUAUUAUUAUUAUUAUUAUUAUUAUUAUUAU